rnacentral:rRNA from 1 species
GACGAACGCUGGCGGCGUGCCUAAUACAUGCAAGUCGAGCGCAGGAAGCCGUCUGAACCCUUCGGGGGGACGACGGUGGAAUGAGCGGCGGACGGGUGAGUAACACGUAAAGAACCUGCCCAUAGGUCUGGGAUAACCACGAGAAAUCGGGGCUAAUACCGGAUGUGUCAUCGGACCGCAUGGUCCGUUGAUGAAAGGCGCUCCGGCGUCGCCCAUGGAUGGCUUUGCGGUGCAUUAGCUAGUUGGUGGGGUAACGGCCCACCAAGGCGACGAUGCGAAGCCGACCUGAGAGGGUGAUCGGCCACACUGGGACUGAGACACGGCCCAGACUCCUACGGGAGGCAGCAGUAGGGAAUCUUCCACAAUGGACGAAAGUCUGAUGGAGCAACGCCGCGUGAACGAUGAAGGCUUUCGGGUCGUAAAGUUCUGUUGUAAGGGAAGAACAAGUGCCGCAGGCAAUGGCGGCACCUUGACGGUACCUUGCGAGAAAGCCACGGCUAACUACGUGCCAGCCGCCGCGGUAACAC